UAGGUCGCAACGAGUUUAGCCAUGUUUUGGCCUUAUCUUUUAGAGAGAAAGGGAACAAUGUCAAUUUGAGGACAUCCUCGGUGACGUUUGGCACUCUAAAUGUAAUACUCAAUUCUUCAAAAUCUUUUAAAUGAAGAUACGGACUCUCGGAUUCUAACCCGUGAAACUUGGGAAGCAAUUGAAUUACCCCGGGUUUGAUGUCAAAAUGUCCUACAUUAUCAGAAAAAAUUAUGCAUGAAGGUUGACUAGUCCUAGCCGGUUGUAGGUAUUGUCUU
rnacentral:lncRNA from 1 species